ensembl:lncRNA
GAGGUGCUGAGGUAGAAACAGGGUAGUUCAGAAGUUAGAGUGCUUACUGCAGCACUAUCGUCUUCUAUUUUUAACCUGACUGUGGUCUUAACUUUCUAAUCUUAAUUGCUUGCACUAAGCACAAUUUGUUUAGAGUCAGUCCACAACUACAGUUUCAGAAUAGCUUGCUGCAAGCAAAAGUUUGUGUCGCGGCCCUUUAAUUCUUUCCUUUUGGGUGAGAAUGAUUCAUCUUUUUAUUCAAACAUUUUUGUGCCCUUCUUGUUUUUGUUUUUGUUGUUGUUGUUGUUUUUUAUGCAUCACUGAUUUGUAAUCUCAGCAGCACAAGGCUUAAACUGCAAGGUGUUCCUUAACCUAACCCACAGUUUGAGAAAGCGGUUUACUGCAAUGACUGUACGGUACAGAAGAGAGAUGACAAAUUAAAGGAAAAAGCAGAACCCUCAACCACAACAGGAAGAGCAUUCAUUGCCUUUGUUAUGUUAGUUUGGGCCCUCUUGUCACCUUAGAGGUUCAGGUUACUGCAAAUAAGCACUAUGCUGUUCAGUGUAGUGUAGGCUGUACAAUAAUUGUUUUGAUCUUGUGAAGAACUUCUGUUGCGAUGAGUGAUGAGUGUGCUUGAAUCCAAGAUGACAAUGUCCUUAUUCAUGGGGCAUGACAGGACACUGGAUGGCUUGGUGAUUAUGAAAAUAUUUGAAUCACAUGCUAUACUCCAGUGUCACUUAAACUCAUCUGAAGUAAACACCUGUGGCAGAUUUUGGAUAUUAAAGGACAGAACAGCUUUUAAAAAGUAGGUUCCAAUCUUUCAGUGGAGUUAGAUGAUUUUUCAAAGCUUCAGUCCUUUUUAAAAAUAAUCUUUUAAAUCCUUUUAUUAUUUUUGUUUGUGUUUUUUCUGGAAAAAAGGAUAUUGUUGGUGGAGUUGGUGGAUACUUGAGAUGAGAAGAAAAAAAAAGAGAAUUUAUUAUCUGAACAUAUAAGGUUUUAAGAUAAUGCUCAUAGGAAGCAUGAAGGACCAUUCACAUGUAUCUAAAUGACAUUUCAAGUAUAAUCUGAAGAUUCUUGUUUUUCCCACAUUUGAGGAGUCAGUAAUGAGAUGUAAAGUUGGUUAUGGAGUCCACCAUUAAUGUAACUGAAGUAGGCAUCUAGUGUCUGCACCAUUCUUGUGCCAGUAUGCUGAUUUAUGAAGAGGCCUCAAGCCUUGCUUUAGCUCUUUCUGAAAACUCUAACCUUCAGUUAUUAAUAUGAUUAAUAUUCAUUAAUAGUCAUUACUCGUUACAAAAUUUUGCAAUGUAUAUUUUAGUUAUAUAAUCGAGAGUUGCUAAAUAUUUAAAGAAAAGUUGAUUUCAUAUGAAAACCAAGGCUUAGAUGUGAAUGACUCUCAUAAUUUUAAAUAUAAAUACUAACUUCUACUCUAAAGUUUUUACUGUUUUUUAGCGAUAAAUAUGCCAAAUCAUUGUCAUAUAUUUUAAUAUUGUGUUGCUCUGGUUUGAAAAAGAAUGAGAGAUCAGGUUAAGCAUUAAAUAUUCUUCCUGGAACAGUCUCCAGCCCCAUCUCUGGACUCCUC